rnacentral:rRNA from 1 species
GACGAACGCUGGCGGCGUGCCUAAUACAUGCAAGUAGAACGCACAGUUUAUACCGUAGCUUGCUACACCAUAAACUGUGAGUUGCGAACGGGUGAGUAACGCGUAGGUAAUCUGCCUGGUAGCGGGGGAUAACUAUUGGAAACGAUAGCUAAUACCGCAUAAUAUUAAUUAUUGCAUGAUAAUUGAUUGAAAGAUGCAAUUGCAUCACUACCAGAUGGACCUGCGUUGUAUUAGCUAGUAGGUGAGGUAACGGCUCACCUAGGCGACGAUACAUAGCCGACCUGAGAGGGUGAUCGGCCACACUGGGACUGAGACACGGCCCAGACUCCUACGGGAGGCAGCAGUAGGGAAUCUUCGGCAAUGGACGAAAGUCUGACCGAGCAACGCCGCGUGAGUGAAGAAGGUUUUCGGAUCGUAAAGCUCUGUUGUAAGAGAAGAACGGGUGUGAGAGUGGAAAGUUCACACUGUGACGGUAUCUUACCAGAAAGGGACGGCUAACUACGUG